rnacentral:rRNA from 1 species
ACGCACGCUGGCGGCGUGCUUAACACAUGCAAGUCGCACGGAAAGGCCCUGCUUGCAGGGUACUCGAGUGGCGAACGGGUGAGUAACACGUGGGUGAUCUGCCCUGCACUUCGGGAUAAGCUUGGGAAACUGGGUCUAAUACCGGAUAGGAGCCAUCUUUAGUGUGGUGGUUGGAAAGUUUUUUCGGUGUAGGAUGAGCUCGCGGCCUAUCAGCUUGUUGGUGGGGUAAUGGCCUACCAAGGCGGCGACGGGUAGCCGGCCUGAGAGGGUGUACGGCCACAUUGGGACUGAGAUACGGCCCAGACUCCUACGGGAGGCAGCAGUGGGGAAUAUUGCACAAUGGGCGCAAGCCUGAUGCAGCGACGCCGCGUGGGGGAUGAAGGCCUUCGGGUUGUAAACUCCUUUCGCUAGGGACGAAGCUUUUUUGUGACGGUACCUAGAUAAGAAGCACCGGCUAACUACGUG